rnacentral:rRNA from 10 species
GCUUACGGCCAUACCACCUUAGGCACGCCCGAUCUCGUCUGAUCUCGGAAGCUAAGCAGGGACGGGCCUGGUUAGUACUUGGAUGCGUGACCGCCUGGGAAUACCUGGUGCUGUAAGCA